CCUCGCACUUUGGUCAUUUUGACUAAAGUUCGAUAUUUAUUUUCUGAAUUUUCGGUAUAUUACAUUCUCCUCCCUUAAAAUAAUUUCGUCCGUGAAAUUACGCAUACCUUAACUCGUUGACUCGAAUAAAUGCAGGUAGUCCCGCCGUAUCGUUUCCUCGAGCUCCCAAGUGGCUUCUCACAAAGCAUGGUUGCUCCACUGGACUUUCACAUAUGGAAUCCUGCGACUUCGCAACUUCUUAACUUCUCGGUCGAGGAUGCACACCGGGUACUCCUCAUAAGACAUAUCUU
rnacentral:lncRNA from 1 species